UGGGGAAUAUUGCACAAUGGAGGAAACUCUGAUGCAGCGACGCCGCGUGAACGAAGAAGUAUUUCGGUAUGUAAAGUUCUAUCAGCAGGGAAGAUUAUGACGGUACCUGACCAAGAAGCCCCGGCUAAAUACGUGCCAGCAGCCGCGGUAAUACGUAUGGGGCAAGCGUUAUCCGGAUUUACUGGGUGUAAAGAGAGCGUAGACGGUAAUGUAAGUCUGAAGUGAAAUGCAGGGGCUUAACCCCUGAACUGCUUUGGAAACUAUAUAACUGGAGUACCGGAGGGGUAAGCGGAAUUCCUGGUGUAGCGGUGAAAUGCGUAGAUAUCAGGAGGAACACCGGUGGCGAAGGCGGCUUACUGGACGGUAACUGACGUUGAGGCUCGAAAGCGUGGGGAGCAAACAGGAUUAGAUACCCUGGUAGU
rnacentral:rRNA from 1 species